AACACAUCACUCAUUUAAGACGAGGAAUGGAAUUUAGGUUGCGUUUUUCUUUCUAUUUUUAUGAUUAGUUAGAAUUUUCCUGGGAACGCCGCCAGGAGGGCAUUAUGGAUACGACGGGGUGGCCCAAGAUGCAGACGAGACUGAGAGGUGGCAGGGCCCCAGGCUUGUGUGAUGGCCCACGGGUGGACAGGACGCAGCUGUGACUCAUUCUCUUCAUGCAGGACCCAUCAGCUCUGAGAGCCCUGAAACCCCCAAAGGAGCUGCAUGAACAGGGCCCCCAAGCAACCAAAGUGAUCGACCUUGGUGGACACUUUUGGCAUCUUCCUCUGCAUCUUUCAGACGUCCGUUGGCCUGGACACACUUCUUGCUUUCAGACGUGCAUCCCUCCCCUUUGCAACCCAAACCCAAUGUGCGCAGGGGAAGCACAAGGCUUCUAGGGGAACCUGGAAGUCAGCAACAGGUAGGACCAGAUCGGCUCCUUCACUCUGCAUGUGCGUGGUCAUCCAGAGAUCCCCAGAACCUCCGCUGGAGGUGACAGCUGGUGGUGUGCAGUUUCCAGAGUCGUUCUUGUUUUCUGAGAUGAUUGAUCCAUCACUGAAGAAUGAAAGAAUCCCUGGCAGUGGUAAAAUAGAAAAGGCUAUCUUAGAGAGAUGUCUUAGAGAGAUGUCUGAAAGGGAGGAAGAAAAUGAGGACCCAGGGAAAAAGGAGAAUGGAUUUAGCCUCAAGGAAGGGAGAACAGAGAAUAGGCGAAUGGAUCAGAUUGACUUUCUCUGCAGUUAGCGCUGGUGGGCAGGAGGACAGGAGCAUGUGGGGCACGCAGAUGCUUUCCCAUUUACUGUUGUCCCUAUUAAAUGUGGGGUCUGCAGGAGCCGUCUGUUCAGGUAAAGGCAGUGGAGAGAACAGGAUGCCCCAAGCAACCCAUAAAUAGCAGGGUGAAGACAAAGUGUUUAUUACUUAGCCUCAUGAAGCCCAUAUAAUGCUCUCCCAGGGUGCGAGAGAGCAAGAGCAUGUGUGAGCUGGCCCAUGUGUGUCCCGGGAGUGGGAGUCCCAGACCUGGUGUUC
ensembl:lncRNA